UACGUAGGGGGCAAGCGUUAUCCGGAUUUACUGGGUGUAAAGGGAGCGUAGGUGGCAGGGCAAGUCAGAUGUGAAAACCCGGGGCUCAACUCCGGGAGUGCAUUUGAAACUGUCCAGCUAGAGUGCAGGAGAGGUAAGCGGAAUUCUAGUGUAGCGGUGAAAUGCAUAGAUAUCAUGCAGAACUCCGAUUGCGAAGGCAGCGUACCGGCGCCAGACUGACGCUGAGGCACGAAAGCGUGGGGAUCGAACAGG
rnacentral:rRNA from 1 species